GACGAACGCUGGCGGCGUGCUUAACACAUGCAAGUCGAACGGUGACGCGCCUUCCUUUUUGGUGGGUGUGGAUGAGUGGCGAACUGGUGAGUAACACGUGAGUAACCUGCCCCCUUCUUCUGGAUAACCGCAUGAAAGUGUGGCUAAUACGGGAUAUUCUGGGUCUGUCGCAUGAUGGGUCUUGGAAAGAUAUUGUUUCGGUGGGGGAUGGGCUCGCGGCCUAUCAGCUUGUUGGUGGGGUGCUGGCCUACCAAGGCGGUGACGGGUAGCCGGCCUGGGAGGGUGGACGGCCACACUGGGAAUGAGCCACGCAGCAGACUCCGACGGGAGGCAGCAGGGAGGAAUAGUGCACAGUGGGCGGAAGGAUGAUGCAGCGACGCGGGAUGAGGGAUGGCGGCCUUCGGGUUGUGAGCCUCUUUAGCGAGUGAAGCAGGUCUGCCUAGUUUGUGGGUGGGUUGACGGUAGCUGGAGAAGAAGCGCCGGCUAACUACGUG
rnacentral:rRNA from 1 species